GAGGGUAUAGCCCAGUGGUAGAGUGCAUGCCUAAAAUGCAUGAGGUCCUGGGUUCAAUCCCCAAUGCCUCCA
rnacentral:tRNA from 1 species